rnacentral:rRNA from 1 species
UACGAAGGGGGCUAGCGUUGCUCGGAAUCACUGGGCGUAAAGGGCGCGUAGGCGGCCGAUUAAGUCGGGGGUGAAAGCCUGUGGCUCAACCACAGAAUUGCCUUCGAUACUGGUUGGCUUGAGACCGGAAGAGGACAGCGGAACUGCGAGUGUAGAGGUGAAAUUCGUAGAUAUUCGCAAGAACACCAGUGGCGAAGGCGGCUGACUGGUCCGGUUCUGACGCUGAGGCGCGAAAGCGUGGGGAGCAAACAGG